rnacentral:rRNA from 1 species
UACGGGGGGGGCAAGCGUUGUUCGGAAUUACUGGGCGUAAAGGGUUCGUAGGCGGCCUACUAAGUCAUACGUGAAAUCCCUCAGCUUAACUGGGGAACUGCGUCUGAGACUGGAAGGCUUGAGUGCAGGAGAGGAACGCGGAAUUCCAGGUGUAGCGGUGAAAUGCGUAGAUAUCUGGAGGAACACCGGUGGCGAAGGCGGCGUUCUGGACUGCAACUGACACUGAGGAACGAAAGCCAGGGGAGCAAACGGG